CCUUGUACACACCGCCCGUCACACCAUGGGAGUGGGUUGUACCAGAAGUAGGUAGCUUAACCUUCGGGAGGGCGCUUACCACGGUAUGAUUCAUGACUGGGGUG
rnacentral:rRNA from 1 species